ensembl:lncRNA
CAAAAAGAGGGUUUUAUCCUACCUAGUUGGGUGACGCUAGAGGAAGGUCCGCAAGGGACCCGCCAGCUCCUCCAGCCCCGCCCCCUUACCUGGGCUCCUCUUACCCCCGAGCAAGGCCUCAGGUGGAAACACUUUUUUCUUUCUUAUCACAAGAAUUCUACAAGGUAACUACUGUCUUGGGGAGGGGAAGCCGCGUUGUCUCCGAAAGCACAGACGGAAGCAACAAAUGGGAAAAAAACACAGGCCAGGCUUGUGAAAUCCCAAACCGGACUGGUGGACGGCGAAGGGACUCAGCCAUACAUAUACACGUGGGUAUGAUUUCUUCUCUUUGGUGUGGCGGUUGUAAAAAUUGCCUGUACAUGCAGGCAACAUCGAGACCAGCUCAGUCCUUCAAGAAGGCCCCCUGUGACACGGAACCUCAGUUCUCAAGGUGCGAUCAGCUGUCUGUAGAAAUGACAGGCUCUCCGGGGUGGCCAGUGAAUGUGCGGCUUACAGAAAGUUGACAGGGCCAGUCCCUCGAAGUGACAAGCCCACUUCUCAGGAAGGUAACAUCAAGUCACUGAAGAAGACCAAUCUCAAGGAAGUCUCUACCAAGGUGAAACAAUCAUCACAGGGACUUCUAGAUCCAGAGAUUGUCACUGUCUCCUUAGUAUUGUUGGGAGAAAGUUGGAAGAAAAUGACUUGACCGAUGAGUAAUAUGUGCUCAGGGAUCGAUGCCCUAACACUGGGGAUCAAAGCAGGAAGGGCAGACGUCAGAGCCUCGUGUUGUACGUAUUCUUGACCAUGUGGUUGGCAUGCUGUGCAUUAAAUAUGAAUUAGCUGAACUCUGGGUUGACAUGUCAGUUUCAUGUGGGUUUUGAUUAAGCAAGAGGCAGUUAGUUCUAGGGCUUCCCAUCUGCCUUCCAGUAUAGGAAACAUAGGUUCAAUCCCCAAUCCGGGAAGAUUCCACAUGGCUUGAAGCAACUAAGCCCAUGGGCCCCAACUUCUGAGCCCAUGUGCUGCACUACUGAAGCCCGCACGCCCUACAGCCUGUGCUCCACAACAAGAGAAGCCACUGCAAUGAGAAGCCCGCGCACCACGGCUAGAGAAUGCCCAUGCAGAGCAACAAAGACUCAGCACAGCCAAAAAUAAAUAAUUUUUUUUAAGAAGCAGUUCUAAGCCCACUCUUCCAGGUGACCUAACUAAUCAUUUCUUGCUCUGAGAAGCUUGGG